GACGAACGCUGGCGGCGUGCCUAAUACAUGCAAGUCGAACGAGAGCGACCGGUGCUUGCACUGGUCAAUCUAGUGGCGAACGGGUGAGUAACACGUGGGUAACCUGCCCAUCAGAGGGGGAUAACAUCCGGAAACGGAUGCUAAAACCGCAUAGGUCUUCGAACCGCAUGGUUUGAAGAGGAAAAGAGGCGCAAGCUUCUGCUGAUGGAUGGACCCGCGGUGCAUUAGCUAGUUGGUGAGGUAACGACUCACCAAGGCCGUGAUGCAUAGCCGACCUGAGAGGGUGAUCGGCCACAUUGGGACUGAGACACGGCCCAAACUCCUACGGGAGGCAGCAGUAGGGAAUCUUCCGCAAUGGACGCAAGUCCGACGGAGCAACGCCGCGUGAGUGAAGAAGGUUUUCGGAUCGUAAAACUCUGUUGUUAGAGAAGAACAAGUGCUAGAGUAACUGUUAGCGCCUUGACGGUAUCUAACCAGAAAGCCACGGCUAACUACGUG
rnacentral:rRNA from 1 species